rnacentral:rRNA from 1 species
GAGGAAAAAGGACCAACAGGGAUUGCCCCAGUAACGGCGAGUGAAGCGGCAACAGCUCAAAUUUGAAAUCUGGUCCCCAGGGCCCGAGUUGUAAUUUGCAGAGGAUGCUUUUGGUGAGGUGCCUUCCGAGUUCCCUGGAACGGGACGCCAUAGAGGGUGAGAGCCCCGUCUGGUUGGAUACCGAGCCUCUGUAAAGCUCCUUCGACGAGUCGAGUAGUUUGGGAAUGCUGCUCUAAAUGGGAGGUAUAUGUCUUCUAAAGCUAAAUAUUGGCCAGAGACCGAUAGCGCACAAGUAGAGUGAUCGAAAGAUGAAAAGCACUUUGAAAAGAGGGUUAAAUAGUACGUGAAAUUGUUGAAAGGGAAGCACUUAUGACCAGACUUGGCCCCGGUGAAUCAUCCAGCGGUUCCCGCUGGUGCACUUUGCCGGGGUUCAGGCCAGCAUCAGUUCGCUCCGGGGGAUAAAGGCUUUGGGAAUGUGGCUCCCUCGGGAGUGUUAUAGCCCAUUGCGUAAUACCUUGUGGCGGGCUGAGGUUCGCGC